rnacentral:rRNA from 1 species
UACGGAGGGUGCAAGCGUUAUCCGGAUUCACUGGGUUUAAAGGGUGCGUAGGCGGGCAGGUAAGUCCGUGGUGAAAUCUCUGAGCUUAACUCAGAAACUGCCAUGGAUACUAUUUGUCUUGAAUAUUGUGGAGGUAAGCGGAAUAUGUCAUGUAGCGGUGAAAUGCUUAGAUAUGACAUAGAACACCAAUUGCGAAGGCAGCUUACUACACAGUUAUUGACGCUGAGGCACGAAAGCGUGGGGAUCAAACAG